rnacentral:rRNA from 1 species
ACGAACGCCGGCGGCGUGCCUAAUACAUGCAAGUUGAGCGAUGAAGAUUGGUGCUUGCACCAAUUUGAAGAGCAGCGAACGGGUGAGUAACGCGUGGGGAAUCUGCCUUUGAGCGGGGGACAACAUUUGGAAACGAAUGCUAAUACCGCAUAACAACUUUAAACAUAAGUUUUAAGUUUGAAAGAUGCAAUUGCAUCACUCAAAGAUGAUCCCGCGUUGUAUUAGCUAGUUGGUGAGGUAAAGGCUCACCAAGGCGAUGAUACAUAGCCGACCUGAGAGGGUGAUCGGCCACAUUGGGACUGAGACACGGCCCAAACUCCUACGGGAGGCAGCAGUAGGGAAUCUUCGGCAAUGGACGAAAGUCUGACCGAGCAACGCCGCGUGAGUGAAGAAGGUUUUCGGAUCGUAAAACUCUGUUGGUAGAGAAGAACGUUGGUGAGAGUGGAAAGCUCAUCAAGUGACGGUAACUACCCAGAAAGGGACGGCUAACUACG